CCUCGCUCCCGCGACUCCGCUGCGGGUCUGCACACCCGAGGACUCGGUUUGAAACGCCCGCUUAUUUAUUUUCUUGUCGCCUCGCUACAAGAUUCUAUCCUUGUUUGGGCAUGAGUGGGGGGCGGCAGUCUCGUGGGACCGGCGGCAUUCGUCGUUCCUCCUUACGGGGAUAAUUCGAGAAGUGCGGUCCGGGUAGGGAGAGAAAUCAGGAGAGAAAAUGAGAAAGAGAAUCCUCGUUUCCCCUCAAAGUUGGACGACCCACUCGUAUAUCUCCUUUUUGGGAGAUUCGCCCAUAACUCAGCACAAACAGGGAAUAGCCCGGAAAGCGCGCGAGUUCCCGUCCGAUUGUGGCGGGGGAGGCUGAACGUUUGGUCCACACGGGUGCAGGACGCGGGGGUCAGGCCUCCUGCUGCGGAGGAAGAGGGGGAAGAGGCCGCGCGGGAGGGACUUCUGACACGCGCCACUGUUUUUGUUUUCAAACAGGGGUACUUAACCGAAACUAGCAAUCCCAGGCGGUACAAGGCCCUCCAUCGUAGGCAAAGCACUACCUGAAUGUAGAUUUGGGCCAUACGUUGGAAAAUAAGACAUGAGAGUAUGCUCCGAUCAACUUUUACUGUUCACUGGACAACUAUUUUGGGAAUUUGCAGACCUAUAAAGCCCAUCUAUAAAUCUCAAGCAUGUCCACUUUCAGAGAAGAGAAAUGCUGACAACCAUUUAGUCUCUGAGGACAACACUUUUAAAGUUAUACAGGACUCCAUCAUAGGACUGGAGAGAGAUUGGAUGUCAGAGUGAUUGAUGUGCUCCUACUGGAAGAAGGCAAACAUCCAUAUGUGAACUGCCUGUGGGGUUUCCAAGGAAAGGAACGGCAGGCAGCCUCUAUGAGCUUAAAGAAGAUAACUGGGACUUUAGUCCUAUAACCUCAAGGAACAGUAUUCUGUGAACCAUCUGAGAAGCUUGGAAGAGGACCCCAAACUCCAAAUAAGAAGCUCAGUGUGUCUGACACCUUGACUGCAGGCUUGGGAGGUCCUGAGCAGAAGAUCCAGUUCAACAGUGCCUGGACUCCUGAUCCACAAAAACUGAUAACAAAUAUUUAUUGUUUUAAGAUGCUAAGUUUGUAGUCAUUUUUUAUACAGCAACAGAAAACUAAACACACACAUAAACAGUUAUAAGUGCUCACUGUAUAUGAGGCUUUUCAUUAAUAAUCUAUAUUUUAUAAUAGAAUUAGAAUAUAGAUCUGUGAAGCUGAAGACACUCAAUCCUUGCUAGAUUUAAAUCAGGAAAAUCAGCUGAGAAUCAUUCCUUGAUAGAACCUGGAAAACAAGACCCUAUGAGAGACCCUGGGAAUUACAUUAAAUUCACUGUGGUUCCCAGUGUCACUGAAGAGGUUUUCCUUUCAUAGUCAGGUAGUCACCAUACUGUUAAGCAUUUGAACACAUGGGCAACUUCCAGAAUAGUUAUGACAUUGAUAUACCAAUCUCCAAAAUUCCUAGAAUACCAUGUUUUCAUGGUUGACCUUCAAAUCAGUCAGUUCUUUGUAACAUUGAGCCAUAAAGAUAGGGCAAAUACUUAAUGUUUUACAUAUAUUCAGAGAUUGACCCUCAAAAUACAGCCCAGAGAAACUCAAAAGAAUUAACUCUAUUUCUUCAAAUUGUGUGACGCCACCAAGGCCAGAUGACUUCAGCAUUGGGAAGGCAAUAUCCAGCUGUCAUCUUCUUGAUCCUCAUAUGCUACUACUAGCAUCUAGCAUUUACUGAGCAGAUAGUUUUAUUGUCCAGUUUUUAAAGAUAAGAAAAUUGAGGUAUUAGGAAAGUUAAGUUGGUUGCCUAGGGAAACACGAAGAUAUAGC
rnacentral:lncRNA from 1 species